GUGCAGCAGUCGCGAAUUUUUCUCAAUGGGCGAAAGCCUGAAGGAGCGACGCCGCGUGGGGGAUGAAUGGCUUCGGCCCGUAAACCCCUGUCAUUUGUGAACAAAUUGUUUCACCUAACACAUGAAGCAUUGAUAGUAACGGAAGAGGAAGGGACGGCUAACUCUGUGCCAGCAGCCGCGGUAAUACAGAGGUCCCGAGCGUUGUUCGGAUUCACUGGGCGUAAAGGGUGCGUAGGCGGUUGGGUAAGUCUGACGUGAAAUCCCCGGGCCUAACCCGGAAACUGCGUUGGAUACUAUCCGGCUAGAGGAAUGGAGGGGAGACUGGAAUACUUGGUGUAGCAGUGAAAUGCGUAGAUAUCAAGUGGAACACCAGUGGCGAAGGCGAGUCUCUGGACAUUUCCUGACGCUGAGGCACGAAAGCCGAGGGGAGCAAACGGGAUUAGAUACCCGGGUAGU
rnacentral:rRNA from 1 species